UACAGAGGGUGCAAGCGUUAAUCGGAAUUACUGGGCGUAAAGCGUGCGUAGACGGUUAUGUAAGUCAGAUGUGAAAGCCCAGGGCUCAACCUUGGAAUUGCAUUGAGACUGCAUAGCUAGGGUGCGGAAGAGGAUUAGUGGAACUUGCGAGUGUAGAGGUGAAAUUCGUAGAUAUUCGCGAAGAACACCAGUGGCGAAGGCGGCUAACUGGCCGG
rnacentral:rRNA from 1 species